rnacentral:tRNA from 1 species
GUUAGGACGCCUGAUGAAAGGGCUAUCUUGAUGUGAUGGAUUAUGUGUACCCCACUCCUAACU